GAGAGAAAGCACCGCCUUGCUGAUGCCCUGAUUCAAAACCGUGCCAGGAGGCCGAUGAUCAUCAGAGUUACUCAGGAACCCAGGCUGAUGGAAGCCCCCUCCCAGUACAUACACACUUCAGUGAUCACCAGUAAAAAGACCAGGAGGAAUGUUUCCCACUUCCCUUUGUUCCCAGAGAGAAUUUGAAGGCAAAGACACUUCUACCAAGGAUUUACUCUACAGGGGGUUGGAUGAACAAUUCCCUGAAUGAGAAUCCACUUCCGUGUAAGCACCUGGCCUUUAAAACUAGAAGUCUUCCGAUGUCCUUUCUGGAUGGAAUUUUGGGUCCGACUCCCUAAAGACUCAGAUAUUUGCUACAAGAAGCUGCAAGAAACAGGAGGCCAUGAAGUCAAGCAGAAAGUCUCUGAAAAACAGUUUUUCAGUAGCCU